AUUGAACGCUGGCGGCAUGCUUUACACAUGCAAGUCGAACGGCAGCGCGGGCUUCGGCCUGGCGGCGAGUGGCGAACGGGUGAGUAAUACAUCGGAACGUGCCCAGUAGGGGGGGAUAGCUCGGCGAAAGCCGGAGUAAUACCGCAUACGACCUGAGGGUGAAAGCGGGGGAUCUUCGGACCUCGCGCUAUUGGAGCGGCCGAUGGCAGAUUAGCUAGUUGGUGGGGUAAAGGCCUACCAAGGCGACGAUCUGUAGCUGGUCUGAGAGGACGACCAGCCACACUGGGACUGAGACACGGCCCAGACUCCUACGGGAGGCAGCAGUGGGGAAUUUUGGACAAUGGGCGAAAGCCUGAUCCAGCAAUGCCGCGUGUGUGAUGAAGGCCUUCGGGUUGUAAAGCACUUUUGGCGGGAACGAAAAGGACUGUGCCAAUACCACGGUUCGAUGACGGUACCCGCAGAAUAAGCACCGGCUAACUACGUG
rnacentral:rRNA from 1 species